rnacentral:rRNA from 1 species
AUUGAACGCUGGCGGCAUGCCUUACACAUGCAAGUCGAACGGCAGCACGGGUGCUUGCACCUGGUGGCGAGUGGCGAACGGGUGAGUAAUACAUCGGAACAUGUCCUGUAGUGGGGGAUAGCCCGGCGAAAGCCGGAUUAAUACCGCAUACGAUCUACGGAUGAAAGCGGGGGACCUUCGGGCCUCGCGCUAUAGGGUUGGCCGAUGGCUGAUUAGCUAGUUGGUGGGGUAAAGGCCUACCAAGGCGACGAUCAGUAGCUGGUCGGAGAGGACGACCAGCCACACUGGGACGGAGCCACGGCCCAGACUCCUACGGGAGGCAGCAGUGGGGAAUUUUGGACAAUGGGCGAAAGCCUGAUCCAGCAAUGCCGCGUGUGUGAAGAAGGCCUUCGGGUUGUAAAGCACUUUUGUCCGGAAAGAAAUCCUUGGCCCUAAUACGGUCGGGGGAUGACGGUACCGGAAGAAUAAGCACCGGCUAACUACGUG